CCGACGGUGAGGGGUGAAGCCCUGGGGCGCAAACGGGAUUAGAUACCCCGGUAGUCCAGGGUGUAAACGCUGCGGGCUUGGUGUUGGGGGUCCUUUGAGGGCGCCCAGUGCCGGAGAGAAGUUGUUAAGCCUGCUGCUUGGGGAGUGCGUCCGCAAGGAUGAAACUUAAAGGAAUUGGCGGGGGAGCACCGCAACGGGAGGAGCGUGCGGUUCAAUUGGAUUCAACACCGGACAACUCACCAGGAGCGACGGUUACAUGAAGGCCAGGCUGAUGACCUUGCCUGAUUUUCCGAGAGGUGGUGCAUGGCCGUCGUCAGUUCGUACCGUAAGGCGUUCUCUUAAGUG
rnacentral:rRNA from 1 species